rnacentral:rRNA from 1 species
CCUACGGGUGGCAGCAGUGGGGGAUAUUGCACAAUGGGGGGAACCCUGAUGCAGCGACGCCGCGUGGGUGAAGGAGUAUUUCGGUAUGUAAAGCCCUAUCGGCAGGGAAGAAAUUGGACGGUACCUGACUAAGAAGCCCCGGCUAACUACGUGCCAGCAGCCGCGGUAAUACGUAGGGGGCAAGCGUUAUCCGGAUUCACUGGGUGUAAAGGGAGCGUAGACGGCCAUGCAAGCCAGGGGUGAAAGCCCGGGGCCCAACCCCGGGACUGCCCUUGGAACUGCAUGGCUGGAGUGCGGGAGGGGCAGGCGGAAUGCCUGGUGUAGCGGUGAAAUGCGUAGAUAUCAGGAGGAACACCGGCGGCGAAGGCGGCCUGCUGGACCGCGACUGACGUUGAGGCUCGAAAGCGUGGGGAGCGAACAGGAUUAGAUACCCGGGUAGUC